GACGAACGCUGGCGGCGUGCUUAACACAUGCAAGUCGAACGGAAAGGCCCUGCUUUUGUGGGGUGCUCGAGUGGCGAACGGGUGAGUAACACGUGAGUAACCUGCCCUUGACUUUGGGAUAACUUCAGGAAACUGGGGCUAAUACCGGAUAGGAGCUCCUGCUGCAUGGAGGGGGUUGGAAAGUUUCGGCGGUUGGGGAUGGACGCGCGGCUUAUCAGCUUGUUGGUGGGGUAGUGGCUUACCAAGGCUUUGACGGGUAGCCGGCCUGAGAGGGUGACCGGCCACAUUGGGACUGCGAUACGGCCCAGACUCCUACGGGAGGCAGCAGUGGGGAAUAUUGCACAAUGGGCGGAAGCCUGAUGCAGCAACGCCGCGUGCGGGAUGACGGCCUUCGGGUUGUAAACCGCUUUCGCCUGUGACGAAGCGUGAGUGACGGUAAUGGGUAAAGAAGCACCGGCUAACUACGUG
rnacentral:rRNA from 1 species